rnacentral:rRNA from 1 species
GACGAACGCUGGCGGCGUGCCUAAUACAUGCAAGUCGAACGCAGUGGGGACGGGUGAGUAACACGUGGGUAACCUCCCAUCAGAGGGGAUAACACUUGGAAACAGGUGCUAAACCGAUACUGAUGGAUGGACCCGAGGUGCAUUAGCUAGUUGGUGAGGUAACGGCUCACCAAGGCCACGAUACAUAGCGAAGCUAAGAGGCCAACCAUCCCACCUAACAUUGAUCAACUGCCCUUACUCCCACGGGAGGAAGCAGCAGGGAAUCAACCGCAAUGGACGAAAGUCUGACCGGGCAACUCCGCGUGGGAGAAUAAGAUCUUCGGAUCGUAAAACCCUAUUGUUUGAGAAGCGUUAUCUAACCAAAAAGCCCCGGCUAACUGCCUGCCAGCAGCCGCGGAAAUAC